AUUGAACGCUGGCGGCAGGCCUAACACAUGCAAGUCGAGCGGCAGCGGGAAAGUAGCUUGCUACUUUUGCCGGCGAGCGGCGGACGGGUGAGUAAUGCCUGGGGAUCUGCCCAGUCGAGGGGGAUAACAGUUGGAAACGACUGCUAAUACCGCAUACGCCCUACGGGGGAAAGCAGGGGACCUUCGGGCCUUGCGCGAUUGGAUGAACCCAGGUGGGAUUAGCUAGUUGGUGAGGUAAUGGCUCACCAAGGCGACGAUCCCUAGCUGGUCUGAGAGGAUGAUCAGCCACACUGGAACUGAGACACGGUCCAGACUCCUACGGGAGGCAGCAGUGGGGAAUAUUGCACAAUGGGGGAAACCCUGAUGCAGCCAUGCCGCGUGUGUGAAGAAGGCCUUCGGGUUGUAAAGCACUUUCAGCGAGGAGGAAAGGUUGGUAGCGAAUAACUGCCAGCUGUGACGUUACUCGCAGAAGAAGCACCGGCUAACUCC
rnacentral:rRNA from 1 species